CCCUCAGAUGUUCUGGGCCGCACGCGCGCUACACUGAUGCAUUCAACGAGCCUAUCCUUGACCGACAGGUCCGGGUAAUCUUUGAAUCUGCAUCGUGACGGGGAUAGAUUAUUGCAAUUAUUAAUCUUCAACGAGGAAUGCCUAGUAGGCGCAAGUCAUCAGCUUGCGUCGAUUACGUCCCUGCCCUUUGUACACACCGCCCGUCGCUCCUACCGAUUGGGUGUGCUGGUGAAAUGUUCGGAUCGGCCGUUUGUCGCGGUUUCCGCGUCAUGUGGCUGAGAAGUUCAUUAAACCCUCCCACCUAGAGGAAGGAGAAGUCGUAACA
rnacentral:rRNA from 1 species